rnacentral:rRNA from 1 species
AUGGGGAACUAUCUGACGAGUAGAAUAACAGCAGAGAAGGAUGCCCAUGUCAAGCAGACAUCGAAGAAUCGCAAUGGAAGGCCUGGCCUUAAAUUUCAUGACCUUCCAGAGGAUGUACUAUGCACAAUUUUAUCCAAAUUACCUGCAAAAGAGGCUGUUCGGACCAGUGUUUUGUCGAGUGACUGGAGAUGUACAUGGACAGCUUGCCCCAGACUAAGCUUUGGUGCCGACGAUAUUAGUAAGAAUGUGAAGGGGAAACCUCAGCGCACCCAGAUGUUCAUCGACCAUGUUAAUGCGGUUUUGCGCAAGCACAGCGGCAGGGCUGUUGACCAACUUGAGAUUAAAUUUAUAUUCGAGAGCAAGCUUGUUGAUUACCUCAAUAAUUGGAUUAGAUUUGCUAUGUCAGUCCACACAAAGAGUCUAGCUUUUGAUUUGGCGCCACCUAACAAUUUCCCGGAAUAUGGGGAUCAUUACAGAUUCCCAUUUGAACAAUUUACAGACAACAAAAGUGUAUCCUGCCUAGCCUGUCUUCAACUCAGCUUUGUACGUUUCGAACCACCUCCUACCAGUUUCAUAGGUUUCCCAAACCUAAGAAAGCUUCAUCUUCAUGUAGUCAAGACCACUAGGCAGGAUCUCGAGAGUGUCUUGUGCAGUUGCGUUAAUCUUGAGUGGCUGAGCUUACUCAGAUGCCAUCUCAAGGAUGAAAUGAAGGUGGUUCGGCGGCCAUUAUCCCACCUGCGGUACUUGCAUGUCGUGCACUGCGAUAUAACCAAGAUAGAGUUCGAUGCUCCAAAUCUCUCCACCUUUGUUUAUGAUGGACCAUACAGGCCUAUUACCCUCCAUCAUGCUACUAAACUGGAAAAUGUAAGAUUUUGGUUCCGCGGUGCAGUUUUUCAGCAUGCUACCGCUUCACUCCUCAAUGGGCUACCAGAUGUACAAAACCUGACAUUGCAACUUGGAACGCAACGGCUAGAGAGCCGGUGGACGUUAAAUAGCCCUCGGGUGUUUUCUCACCUCAGGCAUGCGCAGAUACUUUUGAUUAUACAUCAUGAAGAUAGUGACAAAAUCCUCUACUUGGUUUCUUUUCUGAGGGUUGCUCCAUUCAUUGAGAGGUUGGAAGUACAUUUUCAUGGCCUUUAUACUUUGUGGUUUGCAACCGAUGGACCUUCGAGACAAGAAAUACCGCCGUGUGAAGAUAAAUAUGUGAAUCUGAAGGACAUGCGUGUUACAGGAUUCAAAGGGGCAAGAGGCCAAGCUGAAUUCCUCAUGCAUGCCGUUGAAAAUGCUCCUGCAAUAGAGGCCGUAACUGUAGAUACAGCUCAAAGGCUAACUGAUGCUUGGGAUCCAGAGGAACCAACCCCUAGACUAGAUAGUGCCGCUCUUGAUAUGGUUAGAGGCCCUCUCCUUAAGAGACUCCCACCGAAUGCAAAACUUUCACUUAUUUAA